rnacentral:rRNA from 1 species
AGAGUUUGAUCCUGGCUCAGUAUAAACGCUGGCGGAGUGCCUCAUACAUGCAAGUCGAACGAUGAGGCCCCUUCGGGGGUACAUCAGUGGCGGACGGGUGAGUAACACGUAGGAAACAUACCUUAUACUGGGGGAUAACAUCGGGAAACCGGUGCUAAUACCGCAUAAGUCAUCAUUUGAAAUCGUGAUGAUUAAAGGAGCAAUUCGGUAUAAGAUUGGCCUGCGUCGGAUUAGUUAGUUGGUAGGGUAAAAGCCUACCAAGACAAUGAUCCGUAGUUGGUCUGAGAGGAUGACCAACCACAGUGGGACUGAGACACGGCCCACACUCCUACGGGAGGCAGCAGUAGGGAAUAUUGCGCAAUGGGCAAAAGCCUGACGCAGCAACUCCGCGUGGAGGAUGACGCCUUUCGGGGUGUAAACUCCUGUCAGCAGGGAAGAAUUAAUGACGGUACCUGCAAAGGAAGCAUCGGCUAACUACGUGCCAGCAGCCGCGGUAAUA